rnacentral:rRNA from 1 species
UACGUAGGGUGCGAGCGUUGUCCGGAAUUACUGGGCGUAAAGAGCUCGUAGGUGGUUUGUCGCGUUGUUCGUGAAAACUCACAGCUUAACUGUGGGCGUGCGGGCGAUACGGGCAGACUGGAGUACUGCAGGGGAGACUGGAAUUCCUGGUGUAGCGGUGGAAUGCGCAGAUAUCAGGAGGAACACCGGUGGCGAAGGCGGGUCUCUGGGCAAUAACUGACGCUGAGGAGCGAAAGCCAGGGGAGCAAACGGG